UACGUAGGGUGCAAGCGUUGUCCGGAAUUAUUGGGCGUAAAGAGCUCGUAGGCGGUCUGUCGCGUCGGCUGUGAAAUCCCGGAGCUCAACUCCGGGUCUGCAGUCGAUACGGGCAAACUGGAGUACUGCAGGGGAGACUGGAAUUCCUGGUGUAGCGGUGAAAUGCGCAGAUAUCAGGAGGAACACCAAUUGCGAAGGCAGCUCGCUGGGACGUUACUGACGCUGAGACGCGAAAGCGUGGGGAGCAAACAGG
rnacentral:rRNA from 1 species